AUACAGAGGGUGCGAGCGUUAAUCGGAAUUACUGGGCGUAAAGCGCGCGUAGGCGGUUCGACAAGUGGGGUGUGAAAGCCCAGGGCUUAACCUUGGAACUGCAUUCCAAACUGUCGGACUAGAGUAUGGUAGAGGGAGGUAGAAUUUCCUGUGUAGCGGUGAAAUGCGUAGAUAUAGGAAGGAAUACCGGUGGCGAAGGCGGCCUCCUGGACCAAUACUGACGCUGAGGUGCGAAAGCGUGGGGAGCAAACAGGAUUAGAAACCCCAGUAGUCC
rnacentral:rRNA from 1 species